rnacentral:rRNA from 1 species
AUAUCAAUAAGCGCAGGAAAAGAAACUAACUAGGAUGCCUUCAGUAACGGCGAGCGAAGCAGGCAUAGCUCAAAUUUGUAAUCUGGCGCCUUUGGCGUCCGAGUUGUAUUUUCUAGAAGCGAGUUCGGCGACAGCUCCUACCCAAGUCCGUUGGAACGCGGCGUCAUGGAGGGUGAGAAUCCCGUGAAUGGUAGGAUGUCUGCUGCUAUGUGAACCGCCUUCGAAGAGUCGAGUUGUUUGGGAAUGCAGCUCUAAAUGGGAGGUAAAUUUCUUCUAAAGCUAAAUAUUGGCCAGAGACCGAUAGCGAACAAGUAGAGUGAUCGAAAGAUGAAAAGAACUUUGAAAAGAGAGUUAAACAGUACGUGAAAUUGUUGAAAGGGAAGGGCAUUUGAUCAGACAUGGUGUUUUGCGCCCUCUGCUCCUUGUGGGUGGGGGACUCUCGCAGCUCACUGGGCCAACAUCAGUUUUGGUGGUCGGACAAAUCCGUAGGAAUGUAGCUUACCUCGGUAAGUGUUAUAGCCUGCGGGAAUACGGCCAGCCGGGACUGAGGACUGCGACUUUUGUCAAGGAUGUUGGCAUAAUGGUUAUAUGCCGCCCGUCUUGAAACACGGACCAAGGAGUCUAACGUCUAUGCGAGUGUUUGGGUGUAAAACCCGUACGCGUAAUGAAAGUGAACGUAGGUUGGGGCCCUCUCGGGGGUGCACAAUCGACCGAUCCUGAUGUUUUCAGAUGGAUUUGAGUAAGAGCAUAGCUGUUGGGACCCGAAAGAUGGUGAACUAUGCCUGAAUAGGGCGAAGCCAGAGGAAACUCUGGUGGAGGCUCGUAGCGGUUCUGACGUGCAAAUCGAUCGUCAAAUUUGGGUAUAGGGGCGAAAGACUAAUCGAACCAUCUAGUAGCUGGUUCCUGCCGAA